rnacentral:miRNA from 1 species
AGGCAGUGCAUCUCUAGCU